GCUACGGGGAGACGUACGUGGGAGAGGCGUUUCAGGUAACAGUGCUCGCCGAACUUCAAGCCGCCUCGGGGGACCGCAGCCCAACCGACACCGCGUGGGGCCAGAGAACCGCUCCGCAGAGCCCGGGCGGCUCACAGACCUUUGAGAGACAAAUGGGCGUGGCAGUGUUAAGCCACUAAAUUUUGGCGUGGCGUGUGACACCGCAGCAGGGAACCGAAACCUAAAGACUCAAUUCUGGGGGCGACAAGAAUCUUCCGAGGGCCUUGCCAGGACCUGCUGUGGCCCUGGUCCGAUGGAGCAGUGGUUCUCAAAUGUCAUCUCUGAACCAGCUACAUUGGAGUACCUGUGGAUUUCUUUUAAACUACAGAUUGAUG